AAUAUGACGCCAAGUCAUACAAAAGGGCUACUAAAGAGAAGGACAGUUACUAACAUUUAUUUUUUCAAGUGGGCUUCCAACAGAGGGAAUAAGAAUUUAAUCCGAACAAGUUGAUAUCAUCUAAGUUUUAACUUUACUUAGAAAGAAUAGCAUCAUUUUCAUUUAAUAAAUCAUUGUGAUUGUGUUUAAAAUUGGUAUCUGUGUAUUGCCAAAUAUAUUUCUAAUUGUUUAAAUUAUUUAAAUAAAAAUUAAAUAUCUAAAAUGGGGAAAAUGUUCUAUGAGCCAAAUAUUCAAUACUGCUAUCUCCCAAAGGAAAAUUGUAACUUGUCCUUGGAGAUAAUAGGUUUAUAAUCUUUAGUAGUAGAAUUAUUGGUUUUCCUAGGAGAGAUCAUUAUCAUAAUUUGUCCUAGGACAGAUUACGAUCAUGAUCUCUACGAGGAGAAUCAACUAUUCUACUGGAUUUCAAGCUCUACUGUGACAUAUAUAUACGCUCAGUGAUAUUUUUGCUUUACAAUCAAUCUUCGAAUUGGCAGCUUUUACUGCAGAAAUACGUAAUACCUGUACCCUGUGCGGCGUAAUCCAAUAUAUACGCUCAAAAUUUAUUCUAAUUUUUGAUGUAGUAAACAAACAAUUUCAUAGAAAAGUAUGUUGUGCUCACUUCUAAGUAAAAAAAACUUCUGAAAAAUAAGGUAAUUAAGAUACUUUUAGAUUGAAAAUUUGUAGACCAAAAGAAAUUGAGUAGCUGAAACGUUAUAUCGUAGAAAAUCUCUAACAGAGAUUACCAGGGACCUGAGUAUCACCUUUAAUGCUGUUUAUGAUAACAAAAACGUUUUGAAACUCGUUGUAUAAUUGUAAGAGCCUCUGGACAAUGUCGGAAGAUGACAGAUAGAACUACGAACAAAGUAAAAGUCGUCAAAACCAGAAUCAAGAGGAAUCCAUUUCGGAGCAUGGGACGCACGUUCAAAGAGAUUGAAAUGAGGAAAUAACUAUUAGAAGGAAGGAGGGCCUAGUGGCGUAGGGCCAGAGGAAAAAAUAAUAUCAUUAACAAGAACACUAAGUAGGAAAGACUCACGAAGGCUAAACUUCUUCUCACCCAGCUUAAAAAUAGGAUCACUAAUCAUACUCUUCUUUGAAAAGUAGCUUUUCCGGAUUAAUCAACUAUGAUCAUAUUAUUUAUUAGUCCAACCAUAGAAAUGUCACAAGUCCCAGAUAAAGUAAAGACAUUCAAGAAAAAAAAAUCCGAACUUUUUGAAGGUUUUGGGUGUUUUGAAUCUGAUAAAAAGGCGUGUCCACAAAUAUUUAUCAAAGAAUAUGAAAAAGUCAACAGUGAAGUAAACAUAAGGUUACUAUAAGACCGUGUCAUUCCAUGAAUUAAGAAAGAGUAUUAGGACAUUCCAUAUGUAUUCCAGCAAGGUAAGGCAACCAGCCAUAAAGGCAAAAAUUCUCUCAAGUUUUUCCAAAACAACAUGGAUUUAUUAUUUUGAUUUUGUUAAUAAAUGACAGAAAAUGCCAAUUUUCCACACAGGCAAUUUUCUACUCGGCAUUUUUCUCCAGAAUAAUUUUUCGACUAGGGACAUGUGGUCCCCUAGCUCUCUAGAAUUGGACUUCUCCAUCUUGGCACAAAUUGAGAGAGAAGCCAGAAACAACCCUCAGUUAUCAACAGCAUCGUUAAAGGUCGUUAGGCAAAAUUGGAUAAUCACUAUAUCGAAAGGAUUUGUAAAGAUAUUAUGUAUAACAUGAAUUCUACAAUGUCAAUAGUAGAAAUGUUGAAUAUGAUAUCCACCGGUAUGCUAAAAAAAGAAACCAUAAAUUAACAUGCUAACACUGACGAUUUGAAGAAUGUUUUAGAGGUGAGCAGCCCAAAUGUAAUGACGUUUUACUAGAUUAGCUGUAGAUUCGCUGCUUCUUACAAAAUUCCCUUACCCGAGCUCUAGUCAUUACGUUAGGGAACUUUGUUAAAAGCAGCAGAUUACUAUUUCAAGCACUUCAUAGUAUAGGAAAUAUUUAUGUAGCCUCCAUGAAAAAAUGCCUUCUAUAAUUAAAGCAAAAGAAAUUAUUACUGACGAAUAUAUAUUUGAAGAGUUGACCACUAUUCAUAAUAAUCUCAAUCAAAUUUCUGGGGCCAUCACAACGUUAGAAGGACGAUUUCCCUUACUUGUCAGCAUUACCAUUGUUGAACUGCUACGAAAUUAUAUUAAGCUAGAUCAAUUCCGAUCUAAAUUGACCAAUUUCCUAUCAGAAAAACCAGCUUACAAUGAAUUGCUAGACCUAACAUGUGUUGAAGAUUCAAUUUAUAGAAAUACCCCCAUUGUAAAUUGUGAAGUUGAGAUAAUUUUCUACAUGUUUAAGAGUCAUCCCCACCAAAUUACGAUCAAAGUUAUCAGUAAAAAGUAUAAAAUUUUUACUGAUUUUGAAAUGGAACUCUGAAUUUUGUACCAUCUAACACUAAAAAUAUAAAGAAUUGUGAUACACAACCCAUAAAAGGGAAUAAACAACAGCUUAAAUGGUCACAACAACGGGGGUAGUAGCUUUGGAUGGUUCGUAACUAGUUUGUCAGACACUAGAUUCUUCCCUUAAAGACUUGGAUUAGCUAUGGUUCAUAAGCUCCAAGAAAUGGUGUUCAGAAAACUCAUAAAAGGCAAA
rnacentral:lncRNA from 1 species